CUCUUCUUGAAUAUAAUUUGAUGUAUGGCCUGCCCACUGAAUAUUGAAGGGCCGCGGUAUUUUGACCGUGCAAAGGUAGCAUAAUCAUUAGUCUUUUAAUUGUGGACUGGAAUGAAUGGUUUGACGAGGUGUUAACUGUCUUUAAUUUUUUUAUUGAAUUUAAAUUUUAGGUUAAAAUGCCUAAAUGUUUUUUUGGGACGAGAAGACCCUAUAGAGUUUUAUAUAUUUUUAUUUUUUUGUACGUUAAAUUUUAAUUUAAAAAUUUAUUUUGUUGGGGUGAUGGGAAGAUUGAAUUAACUCUUUUUGUUCUUAUAUAUUUAUUUAUAUGUAUUUGAUCCAUUUUUAUUGAUUAUAAGACUAAAUUACC
rnacentral:rRNA from 1 species